rnacentral:rRNA from 1 species
CGAGCGUGACGGCGCGAGCAGGUGCGAAAGCAGGUCAUAGUGAUCCGGUGGUUCUGAAUGGAAGGGCCAUCGCUCAACGGAUAAAAGGUACUCCGGGGAUAACAGGCUGAUACCGCCCAAGAGUUCAUAUCGACGGCGGUGUUUGGCACCUCGAUGUCGGCUCAUCACAUCCUGGGGCUGAAGUAGGUCCCAAGGGUAUGGCUGUUCGCCAUUUAAAGUGGUACGCGAGCUGGGUUUAGAACGUCGUGAGACAGUUCGGUCCCUAUCUGCCGUGGGCGCUGGAGAACUGAGGGGGGCUGCUCCUAGUACGAGAGGACCGGAGUGGACGCAUCACUGGUGUUCGGGUUGUCAUGCCAAUGGCACUGCCCGGUAGCUAAAUGCGGAAGAGAUAAGUGCUGAAAGCAUCUAAGCACGAAACUUGCC